UUAAAGUUUGAUUUUGGCUUUGAUAUUUAUUUUAUAAUUUUUUUUCAUGUAAAUUUUUGUGUGUAUAAUGAAAUUUUUAAAUAAAAUUUUGUAUUAAUUAAUUGUUUAAUAAAUUUGUUUAUUUUCAGGAUUUAAAUUUAUUUAUUAAAGAAAUUUAGAUUUAUAAAUUAUAUUAAUAUAAGUUAAAAUUGUGCCAGCAACUGCGGUUAUACAAUUUAUAUAAGUAAAUAGUUUUUAAUUAUAAAUUUAUUAUAUUAAUAUUAAUAUUUUAUUAUUAUUUUAAAGUUAAUUAAGUGAAAUUUUUAAUUUUAUUUAAAUAUAUUUAUGUUGAUUUAAUAUUAAAUAUUUUAUGAAAUUUUAGUAAUAGACUAGGAUUAGAUACCCUAUUAUUUAAUAAUUUAAAUUUUUAAUUAGAAGAUUAAUAGUUAUGUUCUUUAAACUCAAAAAAAUUGGCGGUGUUUAAAACUAAUUAGGGGAACUUGUUUUUGUAAAUUGAUAAUCCGCAUGAUAUCUUACUUUAAUUUAUUUAGCUUAUUUACUGCCGUUAACAGAUUAUUUUUAAAGAAUUAAAAUUUUCUUAAUUAAAUAAAGAUUAAAAAUUAAUUAUUUCAGGUCAUGGUGUAGUUUAUAUUAAAGUAAAAAUGAGUUACAAUAAAGUUUAUUUAUAUGGAUAUUAAAUUGAAAUAUUUAAUUGAAGGUGGAUUUAAUAGUAAAAUAAAAUAUUAUAUUUAUUUGAAUUAAGAAUUAGAUGUGUACAUAUUGCCCGUCGCUCUCACUUCAAGGUGAGAUAAGUCGUAACAUAGUAGAGGUACUGGAAAGUGUUUCUAGAAUUAA
rnacentral:ncRNA from 1 species